rnacentral:rRNA from 1 species
UAAACUCCUUCUAAAGCUAAAUAUCACCACGAGACCGAUAGCGAACAAGUACCGUGAGGGAAAGUUGAAAAGCACUCUGAAUAGAGAGUCAAAAACGUGAAACUGCCUAGGGCUCAAGCCCGUUGAACUCGAUUAUCCGCGGCGGAGAUAUUCACCUGCGGUUGGCCCUCACCCGGUCCGCCGCAGGGCACUUACCUCCUGCCUCACGAGGACGUUGCGAUCCAUUACGAAACGGUUAGCCAGCGAUGGCUACAGGCCCGGCACCUGCCCCUUGGCAUCUGGUUGCUUGUCCCACAGUAGCGGCGCUCAGUUCGGAAGGCCUGCGCCGCAACCUGGGGCUUACCGGUGCGUGGUGUGCAGCCGGGCGCGUGAUGGAUUCCCGCGUACACCGUCUCGGGAGAGGCUCGCCUCUCCCACCUCCACCAAGGUGACGGACUGUCGAUCGGCAACGAUAAAAUCGAGGUACCUUCGGGA